GGAUAGCGUGCAGGGACUCAAAAUGCGGAGGUGGCGGGUUUUGAAACCCGUAACAGCUAGUUGUUGAUCCAGUCAACUAGCACCACCCUCAGUCAGGAGGAGGAUGACCUGCUAGCUGUGCUAACCAUAAGGAGACUGAUCUGGCAGUGCCAUCCAUGGUGGAACAUCUCCGGCGUGUUCGUCGGGUCUGGCGCGAGGCCCAGGCAGCCCUCGUCCGCACUGCGGCCCGCAAUCAGCGAGUGGCGGAUCGGCACCGGCCCCGGACUACCAGCCGGGACAGAUGGUCUGGCUAUCAUCCCGUGAUCUGCCCCUCCAGACUGAGUCCCGUAAACUGACUCCGAGGGGGUGUGGCUGGCUGUUGGCGGCAACUGGACGAGGCACACCUGCAUCCAAUCAUCCUCCUCCAUAUAAACCUGGGUGUCUCACGUCGACGCCAGAUUAUUCCGUCCACUACGAACUCUUGUGUGCAUCAUCGCCGGCUCUUCGUCCUCCCCGUUGCCAGGAUCCUCGCCAGCC
ensembl:lncRNA